GAAGUUAGUCAGGCAGUCGCUAUAUUUUUUUUGUUGAAAUGUAGAGGAAAGUCCGGGCUUCAUAGGACAGGGUGCCAGGUAACACCUGGGAGGCAUGAGCUUACGGAAAGUGCCACAGAAAAUAAACCGCCUUUUUUUUUCAAGGUAAGGGUGAAAAGGUGUCGGUAAGAGCGCACCGCAUUGGUGGUAACAUCAAUGGCACGGUAAACCCCACCCGAAGCAAGACCAAAUAGUGGAAUUGUAUAGUAUCUAUACAAAUGUGGUCCGCAUUACUCCAGGGUAGGUCGCUAGAGGUGUUUGGUGACAAGCAUCCCAGAUGAAUGACUGUCACACUCAAUUCUGCUCUAAAGGGCAGUCAGUUGUGUACAGAACCCGGCUUAUAGACUGACUUCUUAC
rnacentral:RNase_P_RNA from 1 species